rnacentral:rRNA from 1 species
GAUCAUGACUCAGGAUGAACGCUAGCGACAGGCUUAACACAUGCAAGUCGAGGGGCAUCAUGAGGUAGCAAUACCUUGAUGGCGACCGGCGCACGGGUGAGUAACGCGUAUGCAACCUGCCCGAUACCGGGGUAUAGCCCAUGGUAAACGUGGAUUAACACCCCAUAGUACUUUUAUCCUGCAUGGGAUGUGAGUUAAAUGUUCAAGGUAUCGGAUGGGCAUGCGUCCUAUUAG